ACUGAAAUGUGACACCAUUUAUGUGAUUUCCAGAGUCUCAGGAACACAACGCCUCUCUGCAGCAGGCUUAGUUGGCUGGGAGCAACCGUCUGGAUGCAGGAACUCUGGGUCCUUGCUCUCUCUGCUGCAUGUUUACAUCUCUUCUGCUAGUAAUACAAAAAGGACUGCAAAACGUCCAUGGACAUUCGUGCAAACUGACAACAAAAAACUUGGAAGGACUGUUUGUGCCAGCUGGAUUCACAGCUGCGAACACUUCCAGAACCCCCCCAUCUGAUCGGGCCACAAGAUUCACACCUGGAGCUAAUCAAAAGCUCCAUGUGAUGUUGACCCUGAUACAGAACAAAAAACACACUUCUGUGCAUGUGCCUCCGCCGAGACCGACUGAGACUCUAACGCACAAGCUGCACUCGAUAAGGGUGAUAAACCAAAAGCCACAGUACAGCGUGUGAAGAGAAAACAACUGAUGAGGAGAAAAACUGAACAAUGCAAAAAGAAUAAGCAUCAACACACAACUUCCAAUGCACUUCUUAUACACAGAGCAAGCGCUACAGCUACUGCAAUCACACCUAUAAAGAGAAUCGACUCUGCAUGCCAAGGUGGGAGCAAACACAACAGAGAUGGUUUGAAAUAUAGUGGAUUUGCUGGAGGAUCUGGAGAGCAGAGAACACCCGAGCAUAUUAAAGCCAUAAAUAUUUAAGGAGACGUCUGAGGUUUGAGCCAAAAGGAAGCCGCUCUCAGCUGAUAUCAGCACAUUUAGCUCAUGUCGUUUUAUUUAGGGCUUCUUUCUUGACAUGUUUCUCUGUUUAAAUGGCUUGCAUAUGUGUAAGCAUUUGCCUAUUGUGCUGCUCAAAAUCUGGAGUGUCAGGAUUUAUCUCUUCGUGCAUUGAGGAUGAGGUGUUUUACCAAAGAGCUGUGUUUUCUGUGUUCCUGGAGCCGAUUUUUAUAGGUAUGACGCUUGUUUUGGUGGAGCUGGACCUCGUGAUGUUGACUUCUUUUAAGUACUUCUCCUCAAUCAUAGCCGAGCUCCACUUGCCCCAUCAUUUUAAUGCACGACAGCUUCCUUAGCUUAGUUUUACUAUGACUUCAAGCACUUUCUCUUGUGCCCAUUAGUAGAAAUAUCAGCAUUAUGAGGCCAAAUGCUGUAGCCACAGCCUGAAACAUGCAGUAUUUCUAUACGGGCACAGCUUGGUUCCUCGGUUCUUUCAAAAAUCAUACUUUGUAUUUGAAAGGCUCAGUGGUGCUUCUGGCUCCAGUGGUCCAAAUGGUGCUGUUAUCUCCAUUUCCUCGCUGGGCAUAGCCAUUUUCUAAUACUGCAAUAUAAAUGUAUUACAAUCACCAACAUAGGGACCACUGAGGGCCUCCCUCAUAAAACAAUGAAGACUUGGCUCAUAAUAUUUUUCUCAUUCUUUUGCUGUUUUCCUAUGUUUUUAGCCAGAGCAGUUGAUGUCACAUUUCUGCCAAGACAAGCACAUUAAAGAAGCCAUGAAACAGUAGGAGCUCUUGCAUUGCUGGCUAAUCAUCAAAAAACAAAACCUAGGUCACUAUGACCCCUGUUUUGACCCCUGUUUUAAGUAACUUAAUCAGUGAUACCUGAGUCUUACUUUUGUGCACAACAGAUAUCAAGCAGGGCUAUUAAUCAAAUAGACAUUUCAAACAAAUUACAUAUGACUAUUUAGGGCUGGGCGAUAUGGCCAAAAAAUUAUCACAAUAUAUAUUUUUUCAUAUCAGUAUAUUCGAAAUAUAUAUAAAUAAUUAUCACGAUAAAUGUCAAACUUUUUCAAUUCUUUCAAGUUUAAAGGCAGAUUUUUGCUACAAUGUGAAAGUUGUAAAAACCUGGCUUUAAAAUAUUCUUUAUGGUAAGAACAUGACACUUUUUCAUGUCAUUUUUUUCUUAACAAAAUAAAUAUCUUAAUAGAAGAAAAUUGUUUAUUAGUUUCGCAUGUUUUA